UACGGAGGGCGCAAGCGUUAUCCGGAUUCACUGGGUUUAAAGGGUGCGUAGGCGGGCAGGUAAGUCAGUGGUGAAAUCCUGGAGCUUAACUCCAGAACUGCCAUUGAUACUAUCUGUCUUGAAUAUUGUGGAGGUAAGCGGAAUAUGUCAUGUAGCGGUGAAAUGCUUAGAUAUGACAUAGAACACCUAUUGCGAAGGCAGCUUACUGCGCAUAUAUUGACGCUGAGGCACGAAAGCGUGGGGAUCAAACAGG
rnacentral:rRNA from 1 species